GAUGAAGAACGUAGUGAAAUGCGAUACGUAGUGUGAAUUGCAGAAUUCAGUGAAUCAUCGAAUCUUUGAACGCACAUUGCACCUCUCGGUAUUCCGGGAGGUAUGCCUGUUCGAGCGUCAUUUGUACCCUCAAGCUCUGCUUGGUGUUGGGUGUUUGUUCCGCCUCUGUGUGUGAACUCGCCUCAAAACAAUUGGCAGCCGGCGUAUUGAUUUCGGAGCGCAGUACAUCUCGCGCUUUGCACUCAUAACGACGACGUCCAAAAGUACAUUUUUACACUCUUGACCUCGGAUCAGGUAGGGAUACCCGCUGAACUUAAGCAUAUCAAUAAGCGGAGGA
rnacentral:misc_RNA from 1 species